AUUGAACGCUGGCGGCAUGCUUUACACAUGCAAGUCGAACGGUAACAGGCCGCAAGGUGCUGACGAGUGGCGAACGGGUGAGUAAUGCAUCGGAACGUGCCCAGUCGUGGGGGAUAACGCAGCGAAAGCUGCGCUAAUACCGCAUACGAUCUAUGGAUGAAAGCGGGGGACCGUAAGGCCUCGCGCGAUUGGAGCGGCCGAUGUCAGAUUAGGUAGUUGGUGGGGAAAAGGCUCACCAAGCCAACGAUCUGUAGCUGGUCUGAGAGGACGAACAGCCACACUGGGACUGAGUACCGGCCCAGACUCCUACGGGAGGCAGCAGUGGGGAAUUUUGGACAAUGGGCGCAAGCCUGAUCCAGCAAUGCCGCGUGCAGGAAGAAGGCCUUCGGGUUGUAAACUGCUUUUGUACGGAACGAAACGGCUCUGGUUAAUACCUGGGGCUAAUGACGGUACCGUAAGAAUAAGCACCGGCUAACUACGUGCCAGCAGCCGCCGUAAGAC
rnacentral:rRNA from 1 species